GACGAACGCUGGCGGCGUGCCUAAUACAUGCAAGUCGAGCGGACGGAUGGGAGCUUGCUCCCAGACCGUCAGCGGCGGACGGGUGAGUAACACGUGGGCAACCUGCCUGUAAGACUGGGAUAACUCCGGGAAACCGGGGCUAAUACCGGAUAACUCUUUCCCUCACAUGAGGGAAAGCUGAAAGAUGGCAUCUCGCUAUCACUUACAGAUGGGCCCGCGGCGCAUUAGCUAGUUGGUGAGGUAACGGCUCACCAAGGCGACGAUGCGUAGCCGACCUGAGAGGGUGAUCGGCCACACUGGGACUGAGACACGGCCCAGACUCCUACGGGAGGCAGCAGUAGGGAAUCUUCCGCAAUGGACGAAAGUCCGACGGAGCAACGCCGCGUGAGUGAUGAAGGUUUUCGGAUCGUAAAACUCUGUUGUCAGGGAAGAACAAGUACCGGAGUAACUGCCGGUACCUUGACGGUACCUGACCAGAAAGCCACGGCUAACUACGUG
rnacentral:rRNA from 1 species